AUUGAACGCUGGCGGCAGGCCUAACACGUGCAAGUCGAACGAGUGGCAGACGGGUGAGGAAUUUCUGGGAAACUGCCCUAUGGAGGGGGAUAAAUACUGGAAACGGUAGCUAAUACCGCAUACCAUCGGAUUUGCCCAGAUGGGAUUGGCUAGUAGGUGGGGUAACGGCUCACCUAGGCGAGGAUCCCUAGCUGGUCUGAGAGGAUGACCAGCCACAGGGGAACUGAGACACGGUCCAGACUCCGACGGGAGGCAGCAGUGGGGAACAUUGCACAAGGGGCGCAAGCCUGAUGCAGCCAUGCCGCGUGUAUGAAGAAGGCCUUCGGGUUGUAAAGUACUUUCAGCGAGGAGGCGUUACUCGCAGAAGAAGCACCGGCUAACUCCGUGCCAGCAGCCGCGGUAAUAC
rnacentral:rRNA from 1 species